rnacentral:tRNA from 3 species
GGGGCUUUAGCUCAGUUGGUAGAGCGCUUCCAUGGCAUGGAAGAGGUCAGGAGUUCAAUUCUCCUAAGCUCCA